CGGAGGAAGCAGGUCCCUGGGCUGAGCUCAGCGUGGGGAGAGGAAGGAAAACCUCUCCCUCAUUUUGGCCAGGGCAGAAGGGGUUGAAAAGGGCCAGGUUCCUCCCUGUGCAUUGGUGACCUCUAUGCCGGAGUGAGCUAGGAGGUUUGGUAUCCAGCCUUACGCAGCGGCUGGUGCUCGGCCGGCGGGGAUAGGCGCCGCGGACGGCGUGCACCUGGGCGUAGGGAUGGCUAACUUGAGGUGCAGAGCAACGGCCCAGCUGGUGCAAGCAGUUGGCAGUGGACAGAAUGAGUGAGAAGUGACAUACAAGAACUUGAGUUGGGACACAGGUUCUGCCUUCAUCACAGGUACAACUCAGCCCCCCUUGGCCCCUCACCGUCCCUGUCCCAGGGAUGUGGCACCAGGUCCUGCCCCCGCGGCGCCCUGCAGCCGGCCGCACUGGCACGCAGCAGCCUCCGUCCCAGCUGGAUGCGGUGAUGCUCCUACCAGAGCAGCAUGCAGCAGUGAGGCCUGUCAGCAGAGAUCAGACUUUAAAAGCUCAGAAGACCCCACUGCCGCCUUCUAGGAGUUUAUAAAAUCCGUCCUGGUUCAUACCUGUUGUUGUUUUAAACCCAUUCCUUUUUGCGGAAUGACUCAGCUCAAGAAAGAAAAGCAGUUAUUUUUUGGCU